rnacentral:lncRNA from 1 species
ACUACUGCUUAGCAACCUGCUCGGGACCCCUCUCUGUGACUGUGAGCUGUUCUGUUCUUUUGCCUAUUAAACUCCUGCUCCAAACUCACUCGAUGUGUGUGUGCAUGUCCUUGACCUCAAUAUCUGGUCGUGUGACCAAGAACCUCAGUAUUCACCCCAGACAACAAGGCUGCUUCAUUUUGAGGGCUCGUCUGGGAUUUGAAGGUGACUUCAUCAGAAUGGACUGUUGUCCUCUAAGGAAAGUCUCUGGCUGACAAACAAUUGCCUCCUCAAAUACCAAGCUUUGCUGCUAAAGGGAUCUGCAGUCCAGCUGAAAACCUGCCCUUGCCUGAGCCCAGCCACUUUCUCCCAGAGAAAACUGGAGAACCUAAACAUGAUUGUGAACAGAAACCAUCAAGCUUCAGAUGGUGCUGAAAAUGGAGCCGAAAAUGAAACUGCCCUCCUACGAGGGACCCUUAAAUCAACCCCAGGAGGAGCCCUAGCUGCUGUUCCCCACACAACGCCACUCUCCAGCAGGAAGUAGCCAGAAGAAAUCGUCACCCAGUUUCCCCUAGCAGCAGUUAUGGAUUUCAUUCCUGAGGGGGGAAAUAUGUUAUAGGAGGCAGAAAGAAAUGAUUUAGGCGCAGUAAGAUUGAGGAGCUAAAAACAGACUUGGGUGGAUGUCUGCAGCUGCAAGAAGAUGUGUGGGAACAGACACAGAAACUCUCCCUCCCAGAUAAGCAAGACAAAGAAACACAGAAUAAGAGUCCAUCUAUGUGGUCAGAGAAUGGGAUAAGAGCUGAUUUAAAAAAACUCUGCUCUAUAUAGAAGGCACACCUGGUCCCAACCAAACCACUGGACCCUAGGAGGAUAAGACCUCCUCUGCUCAUGAGCCCCCUCCUCAGUAGCCCAUUUAUAAAAACCCUGACAAUUUUACUACCACUUGGCAACCCGCUCGGGACCCCUCUCUGUGAUGGAGAGCUGUUCUUUUCUUUUGCCUAUUAAACUCCUGCUCCAAACUCA